AUACGGGAGGCAGCAGUGGGGAAUUUUCCGCAAUGGGCGAAACCCUGACGGAGCAAUACCGCGUGAGGGAUGAAGGCCUAUGGGUUGUAAACCUCUUUUUUCAGGGAGGAAUCAAUGACGUGUACCUGAAGAAUAAGCAUCGGCUAACUCCGUGCCAGCAGCCGCGGUAAGACGGGGGAUGCAAGUGUUAUCCGGAAUCACUGGGCGUAAAGCGUCUGUAGGUGGUUAAAUAAGUCAACUGUUAAAUCUUGAGGCUCAACCUCAAAAUCGCAGUCGAAACUGUUUGACUAGAGUAUAGUAGGGGUAAAGGGAAUUUCCAGUGGAGCGGUGAAAUGCGUAGAUAUUGGAAAGAACACCGAUGGCGAAGGCACUUUACCUGGGCUAUUACUAACACUGAGAGACGAAAGCUAGGGUAGCAAAUGGGAUUAGAUACCCCAGUAGUCCUAGCUGUAAACAAUGGAUACUAGAUGUUGAACAGAUCGACCUGUGCAGUAUCAAAGCUAACGCGUUAAGUAUCCCGCCUGGAG
rnacentral:rRNA from 1 species